UGCAAGUCGAACGAUGAAGCCCAGCUUGCUGGGUGGAUUAGUGGCGAACGGGUGACUAACACGUGAGUAACCUGCCCUUAACUCUGGGAUAAGCCUGGGAAACUGGGUCUAAUACCGGAUAGGAGCGUCCACCGCAUGGUGGGUGUUGGAAAGAUUUAUCGGUUUUGGAUGGACUCGCGGCCUAUCAGCUUGUUGGUGAGGUAAUGGCUCACCAAGGCGACGACGGGUAGCCGGCCUGAGAGGGUGACCGGCCACACUGGGACUGAGACACGGCCCAGACUCCUACGGGAGGCAGCAGUGGGGAAUAUUGCACAAUGGGCGAAAGCCUGAUGCAGCGACGCCGCGUGAGGGAUGACGGCCUUCGGGUUGUAAACCUCUUUCAGUAGGGAAGAAGCGAAAGUGACGGUACCUGCAGAAGAAGCACCGGCUAACUACGUGCCAGCAGCCGCGGUAAUACGUAGGGUGCGAGCGUUAUCCGGAAUUAUUGGGCGUAAAGAGCUCGUAGGCGGUUUGUCGCGUCUGUCGUGAAAGUCCGGGGCUUAACCCCGGAUCUGCGGUGGGUACGGGCAGACUAGAGUGCAGUAGGGGAGACUGGAAUUCCUGGUGUAGCGGUGGAAUGCGCAGAUAUCAGGAGGAACACCGAUGGCGAAGGCAGGUCUCUGGGCUGUAACUGACGCUGAGGAGCGAAAGCAUGGGGAGCGAACAGGAUUAGAUACCCUGGUAGUCCAUGCCGUAAACGUUGGGCACUAGGUGUGGGGACCAUUCCACGGUUUCCGCGCCGCAGCUAACGCAUUAAGUGCCCCGCCUGGGGAGUACGGCCGCAAGGCUAAAACUCAAAGGAAUUGACGGGGGCCCGCACAAGCGGCGGAGCAUGCGGAUUAAUUCGAUGCAACGCGAAGAACCUUACCAAGGCUUGACAUGUUCUCGAUCGCCGUAGAGAUACGGUUUCCCCUUUGGGGCGGGUUCACAGGUGGUGCAUGGUUGUCGUCAGCUCGUGUCGUGAGAUGUUGGGUUAAGUCCCGCAACGAGCGCAACCCUCGUUCCAUGUUGCCAGCACGUAAUGGUGGGGACUCAUGGGAGACUGCCGGGGUCAACUCGGAGGAAGGUGAGGACGACGUCAAAUCAUCAUGCCCCUUAUGUCUUGGGCUUCACGCAUGCUACAAUGGCCGGUACAAUGGGUUGCGAUACUGUGGAGGUGGAGCUAAUCCCAAAAAGCCGGUCCAAUUUCGGAUUGGGGUCUGC
rnacentral:rRNA from 2 species